rnacentral:lncRNA from 1 species
CUCCCCUCAGCGGGAUCCAUGCAGCCACACUGUGGCUGAGCCUCUUCGCUAUUUCCUGGAGAAGAACUGAGUUGAUGGCAGUUGAGAGACUCGGAUUCUCCAGGGGCUUUCCUCUCCCAUCCUUUGCCUUUCCACGGAGCAGCAGCAACCAUCUCGGCCAUCUCCACCAUCAUGGCCCGUCCCGGAACCAGACGAGCAUUUCACCACUGCCGCCAUAGACGCCAGGCAUCUUGGCUCGGAGACCCCGUUUUUCAGUCCGCUGAUCACCUCCGUUCUGCCGCCAUCGUGUAGAGAAACUCCGCGGCCACCAUCUUGAGAAGGGCCUGGGGGUGGCCAUCUUUAGGAAGUCCCACGUACCUGCCACCUUGGGGAGAGCAGAGCUGCUACUGGGAUCUGGGGUCUCCUUGGAAGAUUAAGGAAACAUUAUUAAAUAUGCAGUGUUUCAUUGGCUAGGUUGUAAACCCCCUCUAGAUUGCAAGCUCCUUGAGGGCACCGAUAAUGUUUACCAGCUCCAUCGAUCUCCCUCCUAAAAGCUUAGUACAGUGUUCUGACCAUGGUAGGUGUUAAAUAAAAAACAUCGAUCGAUUAAUAGGUGUCUUGUUAAACGCAGAACAUUGAUGAUUCAAUGAAAUAUGCGACGUGAUGGACAAGACUGGUUUGGUUUUGACUCAUGAGUUUAAUAGGUUUUAUACAUUUCUGGUCUUUUCAAUUGUAGACGAUGGUGCUAAGAGUGAGACU